rnacentral:rRNA from 1 species
GAUGAACGCUGGCUGCGUGCCUAAUACAUGCAAGUCGAGCGAACAGACCAUGAGCUUGCUCCUCUUGCUUUAGCUGCGGACGGGUGAGGAACACGUGGAUAACCUACCUAUGAGACUGGGAUAACUUCAGGAAACCGGAGCUAAGACCGGUAAAUAUAUUUAACCGCAUGGGGCAAUGGUGAGAGAUGGUAGUUUUGUCGGUGAUAGAUGGAUCCGCGCCGCAUUAGCUAGUUGGUAAGGUAACGGCUCACCAAGGCAACGAUGCGUAGACGACCUGAGAGGGUGAUAAGCCACACUGGAACUGAGCCAAGACACAGACCACUACGGGAGGCAGCAGUACGGAAUCGUACGCAAGGCGAGAGAGGUUGACGGGAAACAGCCGAGUGAGUGGUGAAGGUCCUCGGCUCGUAGAACUAUGUUAUUAUGAAAGAACAAAUGUGUAAGUAACUAUGCACGUCUUGACGGUACCUAAUCAGAAAGCAACGGCUAACUCCGUG